AAUUCAAGGUCACACAAUGUCGGGGAUGGACCUCCAGAUUUCCUUACUGUACUUAUCCUGUAUUACAUGAAGGAAAUGAAAUAAAAAGACUGCAACCCCACUCCCAGCUACUCAGUGAGGUGGUAGCUAGGUGAGACGUGGUCUUGUAACACAGUGGUUAAGAAUGUGACUUUGGAGCCAGCCUGCUAGGGGCUGAAUUCUGACUCAGCCAUUUACUAACUGUGUGACCUUAGGGAGGAGGACCUGGUUGAUAGAAGAAUUUAUCUCGUAGUCUUAACAUCCACUGUAAUUCCAAACUUUGAGGACGAUAGAGAUCAGUGGGCUUUGACUGCCCAGCAUGCAGUCUCCAUUCUUAGGUGGAGUCUCACUCUGUAGCCCAAGCUGGAGUGGUGUGAUCUCGACUCACUGCAACCUCCGCCUCCUGGGCUCAAGUGAUUCUCGUGCCUCAGCCUCCUGAGUAGCUGGGACUACAGGUCACAGAAUUUUCCACACUCCUUGACGGAGGUGCUUAACCCUUAUCCAUCAGCAUUCUCAGACAGCACCUCCGGUUAGGGACAGUAUCUGACCGUCCGACAUCCCUGCAGCCCCCAUGUGUCACACAGACUCAGCCUCAGGUAGAUGGUUUCCGUAGAUGGUGGCUUUCUUUGGACCCUUGACAUCAACCAGUUACUAUUUGCCAGAGACAGACUCCCAG
rnacentral:antisense_RNA from 1 species